AGCGAACGCUGGCGGCAGGCCUAACACAUGCAAGUCGAACGAACUCUUCGGAGUUAGUGGCGGACGGGUGAGUAACACGUGGGAACGUGCCUUUAGGUUCGGAAUAACUCAGGGAAACUUGUGCUAAUACCGAAUGUGCCCUUCGGGGGAAAGAUUUAUCGCCUUUAGAGCGGCCCGCGUCUGAUUAGCUAGUUGGUGAGGUAAAGGCUCACCAAGGCGACGAUCAGUAGCUGGUCUGAGAGGAUGAUCAGCCACAUUGGGACUGAGACACGGCCCAAACUCCUACGGGAGGGAGCAGUGGGGAAUCCUGCGCAAUGGGCGAAAGCCUGACGCAGCCAUGGCGCGUGAAUGAUGAAGGUCUUAGGAUUGUAAAAUUCUUUCACCGGGGACGAUAAUGACGGUACCCGGAGAAGAAGCCCCGGCUAACUUCGUG
rnacentral:rRNA from 1 species